CAGCAGUUGAUUAGUGAGUGUGAAAUGGAGAAGUAGGAAUUUCAGCUGUGAGAGGCAGAGGGAAGUAUCAGAGGGAGGCAAAAGAGGAGAAGGUUUUGUGGUUAGGGGGAAUUAUCCAUAUCUUCCAGAAUCUUGUCUGUGAAAAUCUCAUCUCCCUUCAAAGUAACUUGGAGUCCUCUUAUCAAUGUCAUUUUCUGCCCUGAUUUCCUUGCAGAUAACAGGUGAAAGUGAAAUUGACCGUAUCAUUUGAGUCUUCAUCGGUGGAGUCUUUGGUGACUACUUUGAUCUCUUCACAGUUGAACUACCUCUGAUUACAAGAGCAACCAGUUAUGUCUUAGAUGCUUUGUACUGAUAUGGAGGAAUACAUUGGUUGUCUCAAAUGUGUGGCAUUAAAUAGCCAGAGUGUAAAUUGAAGGUAUUUAUGCUGUGGUCCCAGGGUUUUAGCCAGCAGAGGGUGCUGUACCUCUCCACAGUUCUGGAUGAGGAUGAAUUCUGAGAUGCUUCCACUAGACCUCCUGGUCUCUGGGGUCUUGGCAAUGACUUUGCAGAAGUGAAUUUCACCUCAAGACUUGAGAAGAAAACAACUGCUCUCCAGUCUUCUAGAUAAAUAAAAAUAUUACUGCAAAGUGGCAAAUUGUUUACAUGAAAUAGGUCACUCGAAAUUUGUAGCAU